rnacentral:rRNA from 1 species
CCCUUAGAUGUCCGGGGCCGCACGCGCGCUACACUGAAGGAAUCAGCGUGGCUUUCUCCCUGACCCGAAAGGGUUGGGAAACCCGUUGAAUCUCCUUCGUGAUAGGGAUUGGGGCUUGAAAUCGUUCCCCAUGAACGAGGAAUUCCCAGUAAGCGCGAGUCAUAAGCUCGCGUUGAUUACGUCCCUGCCCUUUGUACACACCGCCCGUCGCUACUACCGAUUGAACGGUUUAGUGAGGGCCUCGGAUUGGUCUCGGCCCGCUCUUUACCGGGCGGCGCCGUUGGUCGAGAAGACGCUCGAACUUGAUCGUUUAGAGGAAGUAAAAGUCGUAACA